rnacentral:rRNA from 1 species
CCUACGGGGGGCUGCAGUGGGGGAUAUUGCACAAUGGGGGAAACCCUGAUGCAGCGACGCCGCGUGGGCGAAGAAGUAUUUCGGCAUGUAAAGCCCUAUCAGCAGGGAAGAAGCAAUGACGGUACCUGAGUAAGAAGCACCGGCUAAAUACGUGCCAGCAGCCGCGGUAAUACGUAGGGUGCAAGCGUUAUCCGGAUUGACUGGGGGUAAAGGGAGCGCAGGCGGCACGGCAAGCCUGAUGUGAAAGCCCGCGGCCCAACCGCGGGACUGCAUUGGGAACUACCGGGCUGGAGUGCCGGAGAGGUAGGCGGAAUUCCUAGUGUAGCGGUGAAAUGCGUAGAUAUUAGGAGGAACACCAGUGGCGAAGGCGGCCUGCUGGACGGUGACUGACGCUGAGGCUCGAAAGCGUGGGGAGCAAACAGGAUUAGAUACCCGUGUAGUC